AUGCACCAAGCGCUAUCCCGGGAGAGUUUUACUACUCUCGUGGUCACACUCUGGGCCUUGUGGGGAGCGCGCAGAAAGGCGAUCCAUGAGCAAAUAUACCAAAGUCCACUUCAGGUACAUGCGUUUAUUCAGUCUUACAUAAGGGAACUGGAAGCUAUCAAAUCUGUUAAUACGAGCCAUGAUGGUAAUUCUAUUCCUCGUUCGACGAGCUGGAUUCCCCCACCAACAGGGCUGAAAAUACUGAAUGUAGACGCUGCAGUGGGGAGGGGAAGUAGACACGGCUCUGUAGCGGCAAUAUCAAGAGACUCGGCUGGCCUUUUUUUGGGAGCAUCGGCUGUGGUUUUUCCAGGCACUUCCGAUCCGGCCACUCUUGAAUGCAUGGCGAUAAGGGAGGCGUUGGCCCUUGCGGAUGAUCUGAAUGUUUCAACUAUACAAGUGGCGUCCGACUCGAAGGUGGUGGUCGAGGACAUCCGAGACAACAAUCCUACAGCGUAUGGUGCGAUCAUACAUGAAAUAAUAGAGCAUGGAUCAAAUUUCCUUUUGUGUAACUUUUGCCACGAAUUUAGGAGCUCGAAUAUCGAGGCUCACAAGCUCGCCAAGCAUGCUUUAUCCCUUCCGGCUGGCCGACAUGUUUGGUCGGGUCAGCCGGACGGACUCUCUUUCGUCCAUGUAAACAUUGUGACAUCAUAA
rnacentral:rRNA from 1 species